UGUGAACUCGAAGAGUAGGGCGGGACACGUGGUAUCCUGUCUGAAUAUGGGGGGACCAUCCUCCAAGGCUAAAUACUCCUGACUGACCGAUAGUGAACCAGUACCGUGAGGGAAAGGCGAAAAGAACCCCGGCGAGGGGAGUGAAAAAGAACCUGAAACCGUGUACGUACAAGCAGUGGGAGCACCUUCGGGUGUGACUGCGUACCUUUUGUAUAAUGGGUCAGCGACUUAUAUUCUGUAGCAAGGUUAACCGUAUAGGGGAGCCGCAGGGAAACCGAGUCUUAACUGGGCGUUAAGUUGCAGGGUAUAGACCCGAAACCCGGUGAUCUAGCCAUGGGCAGGUUGAAGGUUGGGUAACACUAACUGGAGGACCGAACCGACUAAUGUUGAAAAAUUAGCGGAUGACUUGUGGCUGGGGGUGAAAGGCCAAUCAAACCGGGAGAUAGCUGGUUCUCCCCGAAAGCU
rnacentral:rRNA from 3 species